rnacentral:rRNA from 1 species
AUGGACUCCUGGCAAAGAAGGGUUGGAUCCAUGGAAGAGGCCAGCGAAUGGGCGCUCCUCACGGCCUCCUACGCCGCCAACUCCGCAAUCGUCCACGCUGUCUACCGCUACCUCGUCCCCUGCAGCCAGGUAACGACGAGUGCACAACCAGUGAUUCUCCUGUCCUGUGUUCCACUACUACAACCCGUUGGCUCUUGGCUGGUUGCUAGAUAUCCCGAUCAAAUCUUUUAUCCGGGUUCGUCCUCUGCUGCAGUCCUUGUUUCGGCGGUGCGACCAGCUGACGAGCGUGGAUCCCGCCGAGGACACCACCCUCUGGACCGGGAUGCUGUGCUGCCUGCGCCACACUCCAGGCGGCCGCGGCGGUGCUAG